rnacentral:rRNA from 1 species
AUUGAACGCUGGCGGCAGGCCUAACACAUGCAAGUCGAACGAGUGGCGGACGGGUGAGUAAUGUAUGGGAAACUGCCCGAUGGAGGGGGAUAACUACUGGAAACGGUAGCUAAUACCGCAUACCAUCGGAUGUGCCCCGAUGGGAUUAGCUAGUAGGUGGGGUAACGGCUCACCGAGGCGACGAUCCCUAUCUGGUCUGAGAGGAUGACCAGCCACACGGGAACUGAGACACGGUCCAGACUCCUACGGGAGGCAGCAGUGGGGAAUAUUGCACAAUGGGCGCAAGCCUGAUGCAGCCAUGCCGCGUGUAUGAAGAAGGCCUUCGGGUUGUAAAGUACUGUCAGCGGGGAGGCGUUACUCGCAGAAGAAGCACCGGCUAACUCCGUGCCAGCAGCCGCGGUAAUUC